UAUGUGAUCGUCUCUCGCAUAUCAAUAAGCGGAGGAAAAGAAACUAACAAGGAUUCCCCUAGUAACGGCGAGUGAAGCGGGAAGAGCUCAAAUUUGAAAUCUUAAAGGGUUUCCCUUUACGAAUUGUAGUUUAAAGAAGUGUUUUCUGUUGAGGUUUUGGUAAAAGUUCUUUGGAAUAGGACAUCAUAGAGGGUGAGAAUCCCGUAUUUGACCUUUACUUUCAACUUUGUGAUACACUUUCAAAGAGUCGGAUUGUUUGGGAAUGCAGUCCAAAAUGGGUGGUAAAUUUCAUCUAAAGCUAAAUAUUGGCGAGAGACCGAUAGCGAACAAGUACCGUGAGGGAAAGAUGAAAAGAACUUUGAAAAGGAGAGUUAAACAGUACGUGAAAUUGUCAAAAGGGAAGCGUUUGACACCAGUGUUGUUUUUCUGAAAAUCAAUUAAAGAACUGUUUAUGCUAAGUUGUUUAGACUUUAUCAGCUAAUCUGCUUAGUUUUGAGCUUUUCUUUAAUGCACUUUUCAGUUAACAAGUCAACAUCAAUUUCUUUUGCUGUAAAAAAGCUUGAGGAAGGUGGCUUGAGAUUCGUCUUAAGUGUUUAUAGCCUCUUGCCUAUGCAGUCGGAGAGAUUGAGGUCUGCAGCGUAGAUCCUUCGGGGCUAAAUGCAUUUGUGCUAAGUUAUAGCAUUUUAUAGACAACUUGUUGACUAUGAUUUGUCUUGUAGCUUACUCGCUUAUGUUAUUUUACCUACGCUUAGGAUGUUGACGCGCGUGUGUGCGUG
rnacentral:rRNA from 1 species